rnacentral:rRNA from 1 species
AUUGAACGCUAGCGGGAUGCUUUACACAUGCAAGUCGAACGGAGCGGCGGACGGGUGAGUAAUGCCUAGGAAUCUGCAUGGUAGUGGGGGAUAACGUCCGGAAACGGGCGCUAAUACCGCAUACUAUCAAAUGAGCCUCGGUCGGAUUAGCUAGUUGGUGGGGUAAAGGCCUACCAAGGCGACGAUCCGUAACUGGUCUGAGAGGAUGAUCAGUCACACUGGAACUGAGACACGGGCCAGACUCCUACGGGAGGCAGCAGUGGGGAAUAUUGGACAAUGGGCGAAAGCCUGUUCCAGCCAUGCCGCGUGUGUGAAGAAGGUCUUCGGAUUGUAAAGCACUUUAAGUUGGGAGGCGUUACCAACAGAAUAAGCCACGGCUAACUACGUGCCAGCCGCCGCGGUAAUAC